AACUGCAUCUCUCACCACCCAGCUUACUGAACUCCAGUAAGCUGCGUCUCCUACAGUUAAGCUACACCAAAACCGCAAAUCGCGUAUUGCUACUCCCAAGCUACACAACACUGUAUACUGCUUUUCUAUAUACCAGGGAAACAGAACUCUCAUCAACUACAUUGCCCUUCACCAAUGUUACAAAACAACCGUUGCUGCAUCUCCCACACUCGUGUUAUGGAAAACCUGCAUAUUGUGCAUUGCUACUUCCAUGCUACAGAACUCUGUAAAGUACUUCUCUGUACAUCCAGGCUACAGAACUCUUGUAAACUGCUUCUCUCUAGACCCAGGAUACAGAAAUACUGCAAGCUGCGUUUGCUACACUCACGCUACGGAUAUCCCAGAUAUAGCGUACUCCAACUCCCAGGCUACAGAACUCUUGUAAACUGCUUCAUUCUACACCCAGGAUACGGAACUCUGUUAACUGCAUCUCUCUACCCCAAUGUCACAAAAAGCACGUGAGCUGCAUCUCCUACACUCAGGCUAUAGAAAUCCCACUUAUUUCGAAUGUCUACUCCCAGGCUACAGAACUCUUGUACACUGCAUAUCCCAAGACCCAGGAUACUGAAAUACCACAAGCUGUGUCUUCUACACAUAAGCCACAGGUAUCCCAGAUAUUGGGAAUGCCUACUCCCAGGCUACAGAACUGGUGCAAACUGCUUCUCUCAACACUCAGGUUACUGAAAUCCUUUACAGUGCGAACGCCUACCCCCAGGCAUUCAUUCUACAGCUCAUAGCAAACCCGCAUAUUGCGUAUUGCUAGUCCCAGGCUCCAGAACUCUUGUAAACGCCUUCAUUCUACACCCAGGAUACAGAAUUCUGGUAAACUGCAUCUCUCUACCCAACCUAACAACAAGCACAUGAGCUGCAUCUCCCACAUUCAGGUUAUAGGAAACCCACAUAUUGUGUAUUGCUACUCCCACGCUACAGAACUCGGUAAACUGUUUCUCUCUGUAAGCAGCUUCCACAAUUCCCAUAAACUGCAUCUCUCCACACCCAGCUUAUAGAACUCCCGGAGGCUGCAUUUCCCUGCAACCACGUUACAGAACACCCAUUAGCUGCAUCUCCCACACACGGGCUAUAGAAAACCUGCAGAGUGCAUAUUGCUACUCCCACACUACAGAACUCUGUAAAGUGCUUCUAACUACACCGAGCGUACAGAAUCCCAUAAACUGCAUCUCUCACCACCCAGCUUACUGAACUCCCCUAAGCUGCGUCUCCUACAGUUAA